UAACAAUGAUUUCCCUAGUAACGGCGAGUGAAGAGGAAAGAGCUCAAAGUUGUAACCUAUUUGGCUUAGCCAAAUCGGAUUGUAGACUGGAGAAGUGUUUUAUGGCACACCGGGUAAAGAAGUCCCUUGGAACAGGGCAUCAUAGAGGGUGAGAAUCCCGUGACUUUGCCUGAGAAUAGUUGUCAACUUUAAUACGCUUUCAAAGAGUCAGGUUGUUUGGGAAUGCAGCCUAAAUUGGGUGGUAAAUCUCACCUAAAGCUAAAUAUUGGCGAGAGACCGAUAGCGAACAAGUACCGUGAGGGAAAGAUGAAAAGAACUUUGAAAAGAGAGUUAAACAGUACGUGAAAUUGUUAAAAGGGAACCGUUUGGAGCCAGACCGGCUUUACCGUAAUCAAUCUAGGUUUCGACCUGGAUGCACUUGCGGUAUGUGCCUGACAACGACAGUUUUUUCUGAGGGAAAAAAUUAAGAGGAAUGUGGCCCCUCGGGGUGUUAUAGCCUUUUAAAAAAUACCUUGGAUUGGACUGAGGAACGCAGCGAAUUCCAUUAGGCAAGAUUGCUGGGCGCUUCAACUGAUAGAAGCUAGAAUUUCUGCCUUGGGUGGUGCUAGUUUCUAAAGGGUAAACUCGUUUAGUAUAUUUUUUAUUCGCUUAGGUUGGUGGCUUAAUGA
rnacentral:rRNA from 1 species